rnacentral:sRNA from 1 species
UACGCCAUGUAGUAACCAUAUCAUCAUAUAUAUUAACAAUCUCUGCCUUCGCUGCUCAAUCAUUUCUUCUAUACUACUAAUGAUCUUUUGUUAUUGCAUUUUCUUUAUUCUUAAAUUCUUUAUUUCUCUAUUGUUAUUUUGUGUUAUCACAAAGACUUUAGAUUCCUGCCUGUCUACAUGUGAUAUAAAGAUCUGGUGAUAUUGGUAUCUACCAAUGAUAUGAAGAUCCAGCAAUCACUAUCAAUGAGUGCUAUCAAUUAUAGGUAUCGAUGGGAUGAAUAUCUAGUGAUAUCUGACAAUAUCAAUGAUUUACAGGUAGAAGACAGAAUAUUAUGAGGAUGGUUUAAAGGCAAAGCCAGAAAGUGCUGUAUUACGGAGAUGAUUUUUGGAACUACUAACAUAAUAAUAGAAAUUCAUACCGAUCAUAAAAGCUGAUUUGAGAGCUCUAGAAUACUAAUAUAAAAUCUCCCCUUCUACUCUUAAACCAUCCCCUAUUAUGGUUGGUAAUUAACUAUUGCUACGGUUUACAGCUGAUUAAUAUUCUUCAGUUGUUUGCACUCUCAUUGUUGAUGUUCUUCUCUGAUAUUCCAUCUAGGUACUGCACUAUAUCUAGUAUGUUUACGGAAUAGGCCAUAGCGAGGUUGGCAAGUGGUCUCAACAAUGGGAAGCAAUCAUAGCGAGCAAAGCGAAGUAUGUAAGAAAAUAAUAUUCAGAUACCAUCUAUAAUCAAUAUAAUAGAUAACUAUCCAGA